GAGAAAAUAUUGAAAGGGCAGCCAAUUAACAUCGAGACGCAUCUUACGGCUGUGAACAAUUUGAGACUGGAUAUUGCCACUGUCCUCCUUCAAGAAACAGAUGAUCUCAGCAAUGUCUGUCACAGCUGUGGGAUGGAGGAGAGCGAUAACCCUCAAUGGAUCUGCUGUGACAUCUGUGACAGGUGGUUUCACCACGAGUGUGUCCUGA